rnacentral:lncRNA from 10 species
GCUGAUGGAGGCUUGUGUUCCCUGGGUCCCAUCCGCCUUCCCAGGCUGUGCUUCAUCAGCUCCGUGAGUCAUGUGGGGCAGCGGUUCAAGAAGUGGUGGCUGUGACGAGAGACUUCAUGCAAGAAGGCCUUUCCAAAGUGUCAUCCAGCAAAGUUAAUUUUCUCCUUUCAUCCUAUGCUGAAGUUGUAUCCCUGGAGUGGCAUCACUGAAUUAUGGCUGCUUUCAUCCCAGCUAUCCAUGGCGGUGGAUGCACUGCACUGUAAUUUUCCUUGAAGGCUAUGUGGAGGUCCAAUGAACCCAUCCCCACGGGCACAUGGGGGAGUAUUGUUCUGCACUGUUUGAGCGCCCACAGCAUAUGAGGCAGCAAGGAGGCCCUGGAGAACCACAUUCACUCUUUUUUUUUUUUGAGAUGGAGUCUUGCUGUGUCGCUCAGGCUGGAGUGCAGUGGUGCAAUCUUGGCUCACUGCAAGCUCCGCCUCCCAGAUUCACGCCAUUCUCCUGCCUCAGCCUCCUGAGUAGCUGGGACUACAGGAGCCCGCCACCACGCCCGGCUAAUUUUUUGUAUUUUUAGUAAAGACGGGGUUUCACCGUGUUAGCCAGGAUGGUCUCGAUCUCCUGACCUCGUGAUCCGCACGCCUCGGCCUCCCAAAGUGCUGGGAUUACAGGCGUGAGCCACCGCACCCGGCCCAUGUUCACUCUUGAAGAAGACUCCAGUCAGAGUAACCCUGGUGAAGAGAAGCCAGGGUUUCAGGAAAGAAGGAACGUGUUGCUUAAGACUCAUCUUGUCUGGUUUUGGUUUCCAGCCUGAUCAAGCGCUGCGGGGGAAGCCCUAAGCGGAGCCUUUCAUGGUAACUUGUUCAUGGAAGAGACUCUGCAGGAUUGGUCAGGGAAUAUUCCAAAGCACCAGCUACACACCCAGCUCAGUGGGAAACCUUCACAUGAGUGACCCAGGAGUCUUAGGCAUAGUCUUUCUCUUACAGAUAUAGACUGUGUAUAAAACCAACCUGCCCAUACAUGAACGUAGUAAUAUGAAGCAUCACAUCACAAUACGGUUUAAAGUGCCAGGGGAAAGCAGAAUGGAAAAAGUCCCUAUGAGCUACAAAGGGAAUGCUUUGUGGAAAUGGAGGGAAUUCAAGACAGCAAAGAGUAGAUGUGACCAAUAGAAGGAAGAAGCAUAAGACAGGGGUUUGGUAAUAAAGAUGGUGAUUUCAGCUUGAGCCACAGUAGUCUAACAUGCUGGGCAAAUGCCCCACCGCCGACGUAAAAUUGCUUCCUCCCAUUGAGACCACUGAGUUACACAUAUAAAAACUCCACAAAUGGCAGC